ACAGGGAAUGGGCUCCACCUGAGGAGAAGAGUGCCUGCCUUUUGCUGAGGAGAUGGCAGCUAGUGCUAUGCUGAGGAGAGGGGUGCCAGGGCCUGUCAGUGCCGGCUGAGGGGAUGAGCGCUGCCUCAGCAGGAAAAUGGCGGACAGUGCCCUGCUGAGGAGAUGGCCUCAGGUGCCUGCAAAGGUGACAGGUGCUGCCUUCCUGAACAAAUGGAUGACAGUGACCCUCUGAGGAGAUGGAUGGCAAUAUCCUUUGAAGAAAUGGCUGCCAGUGCCUGCCAAGGAGAUGUGUCCUGCCUUGCUGAGGAAAUGGGUAGUGAUGCCCUGCUGAGGAGGCUGCUGGUGACACAGCAGGAAGACGCCAGAUGAAGAGUCUGUGAAAUUCCUUGCGACAGUACCACAAGGCUCUGGGAAUGGCUUGUUGGGAGUGGAGAGAAUAUGCUGAGACCCCACUGCUUCCCUUCCAUGGUGAUUUCUUCAAAGCUUUGUGUCCGCCGUUAUUUGGAAGAGUAUCAGAGACCCUCACAGUGCAUGCUGUCCCCAGGUCCUGUCACCAUUCUGAGUGGCUAUCGAUGGGACAAGAUGCCAUUUGCACAGAUGGAGGUCUUAGGAAAGCCCUUUGCAAAAGUCUUUGCUGCAGAAGCUGGUAGAUACAUUCUGAUGACACUUUGGUACUUCUGGUUUAACUGGGACUUCUCACAGACAGCAGUCAAGGUG